CGAAGAUGAACGUUCGAUUAAAGAAAAAUGUAGGAUCGCGCGUACAAGCGUUACGUACCAUGAUUCGAUUUUUCAACUUAUCGUUCAGAAGAGAAAUGCCAAACUCGAUGACUUUGAUCGCGCAACUCGGGAUAUUAACAAAGGACCAGGCGCUAAGAUGACCCAUUGUCAAUCCAGAUUCGUCGUUGAUGUGUGUGUAUCCACGGACCUGAUUCUCCUCGUCGUCCAUUAGAGAUUCCACUACGAGACUAUGAGCUCGAGCCAUUUGAGCGGACGUGUAUUUGUAAGGAUCGAAACGCCCUUUGGGAGAAAGGAUGUCAGUGCUUGAAAGACGCGUGCAAAGUAACGGGAGGAAACAAAAA